CCUCGGGAGGCAGCAGUGGGGAAUAUUGGACAAUGGGCGAAAGCCUGAUCCAGCCAUGCCGCGUGUGUGAAGAAGGCCUUCGGGUUGUAAAGCACUUUCAGUGGGGAAGAAAGCCUUGGGGCUAAUACCCUCGAGGAAGGACAUCACCCACAGAAGAAGCACCGGCUAACUCCGUGCCAGCAGCCGCGGUAAUACGGAGGGUGCGAGCGUUAAUCGGAAUUACUGGGCGUAAAGCGCGCGUAGGCGGUCUGAUAAGCCGGUUGUGAAAGCCCCGGACUCAACCUGGGAACGGCAUCCGGAACUGUCAGGCUAGAGUGCAGGAGAGGAAGGUAGAAUUCCCGGUGUAGCGGUGAAAUGCGUAGAGAUCGGGAGGAAUACCAGUGGCGAAGGCGGCCUUCUGGACUGACACUGACGCUGAGGUGCGAAAGCGUGGGUAGCAAACAGGAUUAGAUACCCUGGUAGUC
rnacentral:rRNA from 1 species